UACAGAGGGGGCGAGCGUUGUUCGGAAUUACUGGGCGUAAAGGGCGCGUAGGCGGCCUGCUAAGUCGAACGUGAAAUCCCUGGGCUCAACCCAGGAACUGCGUCCGAUACUGGUUGGCUUGAAUCCGGGAGAGGGAUGUGGAAUUCCAGGUGUAGCGGUGAAAUGCGUAGAGAUCAGGAAGAACAUCGGUGGCGAAGGCGCUCUACUGGACCACAACUGACACUCAGGGACGAAAGCUAGGGGAGCGAAUGGG
rnacentral:rRNA from 1 species